rnacentral:rRNA from 1 species
AGAGUUUGAUCCUGGCUCAGGAUGAACGCUGGCGGCGUGCUUAACACAUGCAAGUCGAACGGAACUGUCAUUUUUGAAGCAAUUAGCUUGCUAAGGGUGGAAAUGUUGGCAGUUUAGUGGCGGACGGGUGAGUAACGCGUGGGUAACCUGCCUUACACAGGGGGAUAACACCUGGAAACAGGUGCUAAUACCGCAUAACAGGAAGAGGCGCAUGCCACUUUCUUGAAAACUCCGGUGGUGUAAGAUGGACCCGCGUCUGAUUAGCUGGUUGGCGGGGUAACGGCCCACCAAGGCGACGAUCAGUAGCCGGCCUGAGAGGGUGGACGGCCACAUUGGGACUGAGACACGGCCCAAACUCCUACGGGAGGCAGCAGUGGGGAAUAUUGGACAAUGGGGGGAACCCUGAUCCAGCGACGCCGCGUGAGUGAAGAAGUAUUUCGGUAUGUAAAGCUCUAUCAGCAGGGAAGAAAGAAAUGACGGUACCUGACUAAGAAGCCCCGGCUAACUACGUGCCAGCAGCCGCGGUAAUACGUAGGGGGCAAGCGUUAUCCGGAUUUACUGGGUGUAAAGGGAGCGUAGACGGUGAUGCAAGUCUGGAGUGAAAGGCGGGGGCUCAACCCCCGGACUGCUUUGGAAACUGUAUGACUGGAGUGCAGGAGAGGUAAGUGGAAUUCCUAGUGUAGCGGUGAAAUGCGUAGAUAUUAGGAGGAACACCAGUGGCGAAGGCGGCUUACUGGACUGUAACUGACGUUGAGGCUCGAAAGCGUGGGGAGCAAACAGGAUUAGAUACCCUGGUAGUCCACGCCGUAAACGA